GACGAACGCUGGCGGCGUGCUUAACACAUGCAAGUCGAACGGAAAGGCCCUGCUUUUGUGGGGUGCUCGAGUGGCGAACGGGUGAGUAACACGUGGGUAACCUGCCCUUGACUUUGGGAUAACUUCAGGAAACUGGGGCUAAUACCGGAUAGGAGCUCCUGCUGCAUGGUGGGGGUUGGAAAGUUUCGGCGGUUGGGGAUGGACUCGCGGCUUAUCAGCUUGUUGGUGGGGUAGUGGCUUACCAAGGCUUUGACGGGUAGCCGGCCUGAGAGGGUGACCGGCCACAUUGGGACUGAGAUACGGCCCAGACUCCUACGGGAGGCAGCAGUGGGGAAUAUUGCACAAUGGGCGGAAGCCUGAUGCAGCAACGCCGCGUGCGGGAUGACGGCCUUCGGGCUGCAAACCGCUUUCGCCUGUGACGAAGCGUGAGUGACGGUAAUGGGUAAAGAAGCACCGGCUAACUACGUG
rnacentral:rRNA from 1 species